ensembl:ncRNA F56A8.10 ncRNA
AGUCAAAGUUUUGGUAAAUUGCCGAAUUAAAACGUACACUAAAGUACGAAAAUAAUAGAAAAACAUUAAUUUUGGUCGACUUCCAAAAUUUUUAACACCAGGUUUUGACCACUCG